rnacentral:piRNA from 1 species
UGGCAAGUCCACGCUGACAGACUCCCU